AGUGAACGCUGGCGGUAGGCCUAACACAUGCAAGUCGAACGGCAGCACAGUAAGAGCUUGCUCUUACGGGUGGCGAGUGGCGGACGGGUGAGGAAUACAUCGGACUCUACUUUUUCGUGGGGGAUAACGUAGGGAAACUUACGCUAAUACCGCAUACGACCUACGGGUGAAAGCAGGGGAUCUUCGGACCUUGCGCGAUUGAAUGAGCCGAUGUCGGAUUAGCUAGUUGGCGGGGUAAAGGCCCACCAGGGCGACGAUCCGUAGCUGGUCUGAGAGGAUGAUCGGCCACACUGGAACUUGGACACGGUCCAGACUCCUACGAGAGGCAGCAGUGGGGAAUAUUGGACAAUGGGGGCAAGCCUGAUCCAGCCAUACCGCGUGGGUGAAGGAGGCCUUCGGGUUGUGAAGCCCGUUUGUUGGGAAAGAAAAGCAGCAGGUUAAGACCCCGCUGUUCUGACGGUACCCAAAGAAUAAGCACCGGCUAACUUCGUG
rnacentral:rRNA from 1 species